rnacentral:rRNA from 1 species
GCGGUGGAUGAUGUGGUUUAAUUCGAUGCAACGCGAAAACCUUACCACCUUUGACAUGUACGGAACCCUUUAGAGAUAGAGGGUGCUCGAAAGAGAGCCGUAACACAGGUGCUGCAUGGCUGUCGUCAGCUCGUGUCGUGAGAUGUUGGGUUAAGUCCCGCAACGAGCGCAACCCUUGUCAUUAGUUGCUACAUUCAGUUGGGCACUCUAAUGAGACUGCCGGUGACAAGCCGGAGGAAGGUGGGGAUGACGUCAAGUCCUCAUGGCCCUUAUAGGUGGGGCUACACACGUCAUACAAUGGUCGGUACAAAGGGUUGCCAAGCCGCGAGGUGGAGCUAAUCCCAUAAAACCGAUCGUAGUCCGGAUCGCAGUCUGCAACUCGACUGCGUGAAGUCGGAAUCGCUAGUAAUCGUGAAUCAGAAUGUCACGGUGAAUACGUUCCCGGGCCUU